rnacentral:rRNA from 1 species
ACAGCAGUCGCCGCGGGAAUACGGAGGAUCCAAGCGUUAUCCGGAAUCAUUGGGUUUAAAGGGUCCGUAGGCGGUCUUGUAAGUCAGUGGUGAAAGCCCAUCGCUCAACGGUGGAACGGCCAUUGAUACUGCAGGACUUGAAUUAUUGGGAAGUAACUAGAAUAUGUAGUGUAGCGGUGAAAUGCUUAGAGAUUACAUGGAAUACCAAUUGCGAAGGCAGGUUACUACCAAUUGAUUGACGCUGAUGGACGAAAGCGUGGGUAGCGAACAGGAUUAGAUACCCCCGUAGUCCCUGUCUCUUAUAC